UAUUGUCUUACUUUAUUUUCUUUUAUUAUUUUAUUCUCAUUCGACAUGGCUUUACCGAAAGAACCAAAGAAGACACAUUUAGCAGUAAGCCACCCCGGGCAGAAUGUGGAGACGCCUACUCUCAGUCGGCUGAAGUGGCUGUCUGGUCAUUAACCAUUCCAGUUCAGUUUGCUUCGGUUUCGUGUGAUGUCUUUGUGUCUGGUGAGCUGCCCAUUUAAAAUGAAAAAUAAAUAAGUACAUCCAUUCUCUCGAUCCACAAACGUAAACACAUUCGCCACACUCGAGGCAAAUUGCUUUUCCCCCAUUGCGGCAAAAUUAAUUAAAUUCCGAGCAUAAUAACCCGAUGCGCAUGCUGCCCCGAUGCGGAUAUUGUCUUGUUAAAAUUGCAUCAAAAUAAUAAUAAUAAUGAUGAUGAUGAUGCAAAAUAGAUGCAAUAAACCCAUACGCGGCCGAAACAGCAGCUCCUCAAUGCGUCAGUGAUAUUGCAUUCAUUGUUGUGUGCGGUGGUGUAAUUACUCUCGCACAAUGGACAGGCGCAUCUACAGGUCACCGGCUUCAAUCUCCAGGCGCGGCAGUCGGAACAGCGCGACAGGUAAAGGAGCAGCCCUGCAAUUGCUGGGCUCACUCCACUGCUGGCGGAAGACGUCUCCGCUAGAGGAAGCAGCAAAGGGUAAAUUGAGCCCGUGGGUUCGAUCCCGGACACGAACGAUGGCCGUUGGAUUCUUCUCUGGCUUCCUCCUCCACAUUGAGAAUCAACACGCGAUUUGAUUAUUUGGCUGCUACGAUCAAGUCUCACGUGUGCUAAUGAUGAUGAGCGAUCAUCAUCACAUGCGACCAGGGCGCCUCUGAGAAGGAGUUCAUAGCUCAGUGGGCUUUACGCGGUAAAUUAAAUCGUUUGAGAAUAUCGGCAUAGGUUUUACCCUUUCUGUCAAUAAAACAGUUUGUGUUUAGAUCAAGGCCGUAAUUAUAAUAUAACAAUUUGAUAAAC